UAACGAAUAUUCCGCAAUGGGCGAAAGCCUGACGGAGCAAUGCCGCGUGUGGGAUGAAGCGGUUUCGCCGUGUAAACCACUGUCAGGGGAUAGAAAAGAUGAUCAUCUCCAGAGGAAGGGGCGACUAACUCUGUGCCAGCAGUCGCGGUAAGACAGAGGCCCCGAGCGUUAGUCGGAAUUACUGGGCUUAAAGGGUGCGUAGGCGGACGCGUAAGUGUCUGGUGAAAGCCCCGGGCUCAACCCGGGAACCGCCGGGCAUACUGCGCGCCUUGAGGUAGCUAGAGGCCGGUGGAACGAUCGGUGGAGCGGUGGAAUGCGUAGAGAUCGAUCGGAACGCCAAGGGUGAAGACAACCGGCUGGGGCUUACCUGACGCUGAGGCACGAAAGCGUGGGGAUCAAACAGGAUUAGAUACCCCCGUAGUCC
rnacentral:rRNA from 1 species